rnacentral:rRNA from 1 species
AGAGUUUGAUCCUGGCUCAGAACGAACGCUGGCGGCGUGCUUAACACAUGCAAGUCGAACGGAAAGGCCCUUCGGGGUACUCGAGUGGCGAACGGGUGAGUAACACGUGGGUGAUCUGCCCUGCACUUUGGGAUAAGCCUGGGAAACUGGGUCUAAUACCGAAUACACCUCGCUGGCCGCAUGGUCUGGUGGGGGAAAGCUUUUGCGGUGUGGGAUGGGCCCGCGGCCUAUCAGCUUGUUGGUGGGGUGAUGGCCUACCAAGGCGACGACGGGUAGCCGGCCUGAGAGGGUGACCGGCCACACUGGGACUGAGAUACGGCCCAGACUCCUACGGGGGGCAGCAGUGGGGAAUAUUGCACAAUGGGCGCAAGCCUGAUGCAGCGACGCCGCGUGGGGGAUGACGGCCUUCGGGUUGUAAACCCCUUUCAGCACAGACGAAGCGCGAGUGACGGUAUGUGCAGAAGAAGGACCGGCCAACUACGUGCCAGCAGCCGCGGUAAUACGUAGGGUCCGAGCGUUGUCCGGAAUUACUGGGCGUAAAGAGCUCGUAGGUGGUUUGUCGCGUUGUUCGUGAAAACUCACAGCUCAACUGUGGGCGUGCGGGCGAUACGGGCAGACUAGAGUACUGCAGGGGAGACUGGAAUUCCUGGUGUAGCGGUGGAAUGCGCAGAUAUCAGGAGGAACACCGGUGGCGAAGGCGGGUCUCUGGGCAGUAACUGACGCUGAGGAGCGAAAGCGUGGGGAGCGAACAGGAUUAGAUACCCUAGUAGUCC